rnacentral:rRNA from 1 species
UUCCGUCCCGCUUGAAUGGUGUAACCAUCUCUUGACUGUCUCGGCUAUAGACUCGGUGAAAUCCAGGUACGGGUGAAGACACCCGUUAGGCGCAACGGGACGGGAAGACCCCGUGAAGCUUUACUGUAGCUUAAUAUUGAUCAGGACAUUAUCAUGUAGAGAAUAGGU